rnacentral:rRNA from 1 species
GUGCCAGCAGCCGCGGUAAUACGGAGGAUGCGAGCGUUAUCCGGAUUUAUUGGGUUUAAAGGGUGCGUAGGCGGACUGUCAAGUCAGCGGUAAAAUUUCCGGGCUCAACCUGGUCCUGCCGUUGAAACUGACGGACUAGAGUGCGCUUGAGGUAGGCGGAAUGCGUUGUGUAGCGGUGAAAUGCAUAGAUAUGACGCAGAACUCCGAUUGCGAAGGCAGCUUACCAAAUCGCAACUGACGCUGAGGCACGAAAGCGUGGGGAUCGAACAGGAUUAGAUACCCUGGUAGUCCACGCAGUAAACGAUGAAUGCUAAUUGUUCGAAGGGUGACCUUUGAGUGAUACAGCGAAAGCGUUAAGCAUUCCACCUGGGGAGUACGCCGGCAACGGUGAAACUCAAAGGAAUUGACGGGGGCCCGCACAAGCGGAGGAACAUGUGGUUUAAUUCGAUGAUACGCGAGGAACCUUACCCGGGCUCAAACGCCUGUUGAAUUACGGUGAAAGUCGUAAGUCAGCAAUGACAAUAGGCGAGGUGCUGCAUGGUUGUCGUCAGCUCGUGCCGUGAGGUGUCGGCUUAAGUGCCAUAACGAGCGCAACCCCUGCAUUUGGUUGCCAGCGAGUCAAGUCGGGCACUCCGAAUGGACUGCCAGCGCAAGCUGUGAGGAAGGCGGGGAUGACGUCAAAUCAGCACGGCCCUUACGUCCGGGGCGACACACGUGUUACAAUGGCGUGGAACAGAGGGAAGCCACCUGGCGACAGGGAGCGGAACCCGAAAACACGUCUCAGUUCGGAUUGGAGUCUGCAACUCGACUCCAUGAAGCUGGAUUCGCUAGUAAUCGCGCAUCAGCCAUGGCGCGGUGAAUACGUUCCCGGGCCUUGUACACACCGCCCGU